GAGUUUGAUCAUGGCUCAGGAUGAACGCUGGCGGCGUGCCUAAUACAUGCAAGUAGAACGCUGAAGCUUGGUGCUUGCACCGAGCGGAUGAGUUGCGAACGGGUGAGUAACGCGUAGGUAACCUGCCUGGUAGCGGGGGAUAACUAUUGGAAACGAUAGCUAAUACCGCAUGACAACAGUUAUUGCAUGAUAACUGUUUAAAAGGGGCAAUUGCUCCACUACCAGAUGGACCUGCGUUGUAUUAGCUAGUUGGUGAGGUAACGGCUCACCAAGGCGACGAUACAUAGCCGACCUGAGAGGGUGAUCGGCCACACUGGGACUGAGACACGGCCCAGACUCCUACGGGAGGCAGCAGUAGGGAAUCUUCGGCAAUGGACGGAAGUCUGACCGAGCAACGCCGCGUGAGUGAAGAAGGUUUUCGGAUCGUAAAGCUCUGUUGUAAGAGAAGAACGAGUGUGAGAGUGGAAAGUUCACACUGUGACGGUAUCUUACCAGAAAGGGACGGCUAACUACGUGCCAGCAGCCGCGGUAAUACGUAGGUCCCGAGCGUUAUCCGGAUUUAUUGGGCGUAAAGCGAGCGCAGGCGGUUAGAUAAGUCUGAAGUUAAAGGCUGUGGCUUAACCAUAGUACGCUUUGGAAACUGUUUAACUUGAGUGCAAGAGGGGAGAGUGGAAUUCCAUGUGUAGCGGUGAAAUGCGUAGAUAUAUGGAGGAACACCGGUGGCGAAAGCGGCUCUCUGGCUUGUAACUGACGCUGAGGCUCGAAAGCGUGGGGAGCGAACAGGAUUAGAUACCCUGGUA
rnacentral:rRNA from 1 species